CUCCCAUGCUGGCUGCUGUGAUUUCAGAGGCUGCAAAUGCCCUGCUGGUGUGAACUCCUGACUCCAAGCUCUCACAGCCUGGGAAGCAGUGUGGCAAUGCCUUUGGCAGCGUGAACGUGAAGGCGAGAGAAAGCACAGAGCAGACCAGAGGGCAGGCAGAAUGAUGCUAUGUUUAGGACUGAGUACCAGGCUGAGGAGCUGGAAUGCUUCACUCCAUCACAGGCAUUGAUAGCUGGGACCUCAGCAUGAACCUUCCAGAGGACAUAAAAGGGCUCGAUAAGAUAAGAAAUGAGCUAUCGAGUGCUGCUCUCGAGACAUCAUCCUCAACUCCUUGAAGUCAACAGAAAGCUACUGAGAGUCUUCAGCGGGCUUUGGAUCAGACGUUCGGCGUAUUAACGGUAAGAGUAUUUGCGUUCACCC
rnacentral:lncRNA from 1 species